GGAUAACCUACCCUUAGGACCGGGAUAACCCUGGGAAACUGGGGCUAAUACUGGAUAGAUGAUUUUUCCUGUAAUGGUUUUUUGUUUAAAUGUUUUUUCGCCUAAGGAUGAGUCUGCGGCCGAUUAGGUAGUUGGUUAGGUAAUGGCUUACCAAGCCGUUGAUCGGUACGGGUUGUGAGAGCAAGAGCCCGGAGAUGGAACCUGAGACAAGGUUCCAGGCCCUACGGGGUGCAGCAGGCGCGAAACCUCCGCAAUGUGAGAAAUCGCGACGGGGGGAUCCCAAGUGCCAUUCUUAACGGGAUGGCUUUUCAUUAGUGUAAAGAGCUUUGGAACAAGAGCUGGGCAAGACCGGUGCCAGCCGCCGCGGUAACACCGGCAGCUCUAGUGGUAACAAUUUUUAUUGGGCCUAAAGCGUCCGUAGCCGGUUUAAUAAGUCUCUGGUGAAAUCCUGCAGCUUAACUGUGGGAAUUGCUGGAGAUACUAUUAGACUUGAGACCGGGAGUGGUUAGAGGUACUCCCAGGGUAGAGGUGAAAUUCUGUAAUCCUGGGAGGACCGCCUGUUGCGAAGGCGCCUAACUGGAACGGUUCUGACGGUG
rnacentral:rRNA from 1 species